rnacentral:rRNA from 1 species
UACGAAGGGUGCAAGCGUUACUCGGAAUUACUGGGCGUAAAGCGUGCGUAGGUGGUUCGUUAAGUCUGAUGUGAAAGCCCUGGGCUCAACCUGGGAAUGGCAUUGGAAACUGGCGACCUAGAGUGCGGUAGAGGGUAGUGGAAUUCCCGGUGUAGCAGUGAAAUGCGUAGAGAUCGGGAGGAACAUCCGUGGCGAAGGCGACUACCUGGACCAGCACUGACACUGAGGCACAAAAGCGUGGGGAGCAAACAGG